CCAGGGCACCACAAAGUGCUCCUUAUUGAGGCUAAUGAAAAAGCCCGCAAGAUGGGCAGUGAAAUUGCUCUUACCUGUGGAGUGGUCGCUCAUUUGAGGAGAGUCUCUCUCCUCUUGGUGGUGACCUUUUUGCUCAGUUAUGUGGUUGUUUUCUUGUCGCGAGCUGUCCCAGUGCUGGGCUGGUGCACACUGGACAGCAGGGCCCAUGAGAAGACCAUCUCAGAAUAUACCUCGUGGGAAUAGAGCAGAGAGCCUUCCUGAACUGAUAGCCUGGGAGCAAGCAGGACAUCAAAAGCUGGCUUAAGUGAAUUCAUGACUCAUGGUCACUCUUGGCAACAAAGAAGAGAUCAUGGAGAUUAGACAGAACAUGAUAUCACUUCAAAAACAAGAAGCAGAAGAGGGGACUCGAUGACCUCAAAUCACCUGGGAAAAGAACAGUGAGCCAGUGGGUCCUUUUUUAAUGGAGAGCAUGUUCCUUCCUCUUAUUUCCUUCUGCCUGUCCUCUCUGGAUGAUGAAACGUGUUCAACUGUACAGACUGUGACUGGGCUCACAUCUCCAGCUGCCACACCACCACUUGGAUUCCCUUUAAACA